rnacentral:ncRNA from 1 species
CAAGUGGAGAGUUUGAUCCUGGCUCAGAACGAACGCUGGCGGCGUGCCUAACACAUGCAAGUCGAGCGCGAAAGGGGGGGCAACCUCCUGAGUAGAGCGGCGCACGGGUGAGUAACGCGUGGGUAACCUACCUCCGGGCGGGGGAUAACCACUCGAAAGGGUGGCUAAUACCGCAUGAGACCACGGGGCCUUCGGGUCCUGGGGCCAAAGGCGGCACCGGCUUGCCGGUGCUGUCACCUGGAGACGGGCCCGCGUACGAUUAGCUAGUUGGUAGGGUAACGGCCUACCAAGGCUGCGAUCGUUAGCUGGUCUGAGAGGAUGACCAGCCACACUGGAACUGGAACACGGUCCAGACUCCUACGGGAGGCAGCAGUGGGGAAUAUUGCGCAAUGGGGGAAACCCUGACGCAGCAACGCCGCGUGGGUGAAGAAGGCCUUCGGGUCGUAAAGCCCUUUCGGACGGGACGAACGCUUC